rnacentral:rRNA from 1 species
UACGAGGGGAGCUAGCGUUGUUCGGAAUUACUGGGCGUAAAGGGCGCGUAGGCGGUACCAUAAGUCAGAUGUGAAAGCCCCGGGCUUAACCUGGGAGGUGCAUUUGAUACUGUGGAACUAGAGAUCGAGAGAGGAAAGUGGAAUUACGAGUGUAGAGGUGAAAUUCGUAGAUAUUCGUAAGAACACCAGUGGCGAAGGCGACUUUCUGGCUCGAUACUGACGCUAAGGCGCGAAAGCGUGGGGAGCAAACAGG